UUUCCGUAGGUGAACCUGCGGAAGGAUCAUUAUUGUAUAAUGGAGGUGCGAGGGCUGUCGCUGACCCGAACCGUGUUUCACGCCCGAGUGCCCUCAUACAUGACCAUCUCACCCCUAUAUGCUCCACCGCGUGGGUCCCCCUUAGGCCUAUUCGGAGGGGGGAAUACGUUUUCACCCAACCUCUGUAUGCAGUGUAGCAUUUAUUUCUUGUUUUUGCGAUGCCGAAAUCAAUACCACUUUCAACAACGGAACUCUUGGCUCUCGCAUCGAUGAGGAACG
rnacentral:misc_RNA from 1 species